UUUUGUUUAUUUAUAACCACUACUCCACUCAUUAAUUCCUGCUCCAGUGAAAGUUUGUACCUUAUUACCGAGCUGGGCUUUACUGACUUCAACUUCCACCUCCUGGAUCUCACUCAGUCGUUUUCUUUCCCAGGGAAAAGGCCCGGUCUUUGUCUCCAGGGGUCUGUGGCCCUGAGUGGGCGGCCGCCUCCAAAAAAUCCCAACCACCAAGGAUAUGUCCCAGACCCAAGCUGCCCCCACCUCAAACCUGUGCUGCCGUGACAGUCCCAAGGGAACCCUACAAACUGACAUCAGGAACCUGGGCUGGCCACUUUUCUUUCCCAGGGAAAAGGGCCUGUACUCUCCAGGUGAGUGAGGUGGGAGCAGGUUGGCUCUGGGACACAUUCUUGGUCGUUCGGAUUUUUUGGAGGGGGCCGCCCACUCCGGGCCAGCCUGUCCCUUGCUCUUCCCAGGAGGUGGCAGUCACUUCCCAAGAUGCAGGGACGAAAGGGGAGUCCCAGAGAGGAGAUCUGGAGCUGGGCUGGGUGUCACAAGAGUGCUCUGGGUAGCCAGGCUGGUGGCAGGGCAGGUGGCCGGGGGGAUUUGGGGAUACGGUCGGGUGGGCUUGCACCAAGCCAGGGGACUGUGGUGCAGCCACACCUGGAAUCCCAGGAGUGGCAGGAGUGUGACCAGUGAGUCACGUUGUGUCCCAGGGUGGGAACAGGGAGCUCCUGAGGUGGACCUGAGGACACUGAGUCACGAGGGUGCUGUUCCACAAAGGACACUGAGUCACGAGGGUGCUGUUCCACAAAGGUGAUGAGUUCCAGAGGUGCUGUCCCAGGAGGGACGCUGAGUCACCGGCCUGAGGUGUGCCAAGGCGUCAGUGAUGUCAUGGCACUGCCUGUGGGAAUGGGAACAGGGAGGCAGCACCAGGGGAACCCACCUGGCUGUGAGGGAAAGGAGAUGGGUACAAGAGGUGAUGGGGUGUGACAGAAACGGGGGACGUGUGGUGGGUGGGACCUGAGGUCUCUGGGUGUGUUGGAUAUGGUUGGGAUGGGAAGCCCCCAGUCAGGGGAAAGGAGCAGGUGACAAUGGAGACAGGAUGGAACAAGGGGGAAGGGGGACAAGGAGCGAGCUCCAUGAGCUGGGGGUGUGGAUGUGGUUUGUGGGGCUGCUCAGAGGUGAGGAAGAGGCUGAGCUCAGAUGAGAACUGCAGCCAGACCACACACUGUGAAUGGAGCCACUGGCAUUUGGGAUGGGGAUAAAGAGAAAUGGAAAUGUCACCAGUGUGGGAGCACCAUGCCCCUGAGGUGCUGUGGAGUUGAGGGGCAGAGGGGUUGUGGAGCUCUGUGCACCAGGAGCACAAAGGGAGGGUGCAGUCCAUACGCUGGGAGUUCAGGGAGAAGGAUCAAGAAGGAUUUUGGAUGCAAGAGGGAUGGAAGCACCACGCACUGGGGGUGCGGGAGGGAGGGGAGCACCGCACAUUGGGGCUGCAGGGAGGAUGCAACGCAGGCGACGCACCUGCAGAGGCUGGGACUGAUGCAGGAGCACAGCGGCCAGGGAACGUUCUCAGCAUGGCAGGGACGUCCCUCUGCCAUGGCCCAUGGCCAGUGCCCUGCGGGGUGACAGCCACAGUCAGGGAAUACCCCAGAUCCCGGGGGCUCGUGGGACAUGGGCAGGGUGGCCCGCUGGAGGCAGCAAAGCCCUUCCCAGCCCCCUGAAUCGGUUCCGUGAGCCGCUCCCGCCGCGCCACCAGCUCCGAUCUCCGUCCAGCUCCGUGCCGGCAGCGCUGAUUUACAGCUCAGCCCCUCCUUUUCACCUGGCCCGGAGCUGUGCAGGCAAUGGAACCAGGGCAGGAGGGUUGGUGACAGCAGCCCCGGGCACCAUCAGUCCCAACAACGCCGAGAUUUGCAGACUCAAAAGUCGGGCAGGAGCCCAGCAACCCAGGCGAGCUCAUGCUCAGAUGAGUGGGGCUCAAGGGGCAAAAUCCACAGUCCUUGAAGACCAGAGGGAUGGGGGUUAGGGGAAAAGUGGACAGAUUCCAGUCACGUUUGGAUGCUGGGAAAGGAAAAUGCUCUGUCCUCUAAGGAUGUGAGUGCAGAGCAAUCCCACCCAGGGUGUGUGAAACUCCACCAGCCACCCCAGCCCUGUCCUGCUGUCAGGACAGUCCCCCAGUCCUCCAGUCACCUCCUUGGCCAUGGAAAGAUUACAGAAUCGUUAAGGCUGGAAAAGCCCUCUGAGGUCAUAGAGUCCAACCAUUCCCCCAGCACUGCUAUGGCCACCACUGCCCCAUGUCCCCAAGUGCCACAUCUGCAGGGCUGUUAAACCUCCUCCAGAGAGGCUCUCCAGAUGCCACCUGGCUGUCACCCCACGGGGUCUUCCUUCCCUGCUCUGCCCAAUUCUGCACCCAGCAGAGCACUCCACCUCCACCUUAUGUGGCUCAAGUGCCCCAUGGGAUGGUUGUCCAUGCUUUCCCAGCUCAGGAAAUGCAGCAGAGAGCUCAGGGGACCAUGAAGAGUCCUUUCCCAGAGCUGGAAAUGUCUUGGGAUGCCCUGAAGACAAUCCCUGCUCCUGCACCACCAAGAAACUGCAGUCAGGACAGAAGCACAGAGAUGCAGCUCAUGACCCUGACAGCCUCCAGUGACAGUUACCAUGACUAUCCCCAAAAUCCUCUGAGCCAGAAGAUGCCAAGUUCA